UACGAAGGGGGCUAGCGUUGCUCGGAAUCACUGGGCGUAAAGGGUGCGUAGGCGGGUCUUUAAGUCAGGGGUGAAAUCCUGGAGCUCAACUCCAGAACUGCCUUUGAUACUGAAGAUCUUGAGUGCGGGAGAGGUGAGUGGAACUGCGAGUGUAGAGGUGAAAUUCGUAGAUAUUCGCAAGAACACCAGUGGCGAAAGGCGGCUCACUGGCCCGAUACUGACGCUGAGGCACGAAAGCGUGGGGAGCAAACAGGA
rnacentral:rRNA from 1 species